GGAAGGAUCAUUACCGAGUACCAGCGCCCUCUGGGUGCCUACUCCCACCAUAUGUGAACUUUUGAACCGUUGCUUUGGGGGGCCAGGCGGCCUCCGCCCUCCGGCCCUAGCUGGAGAGCGUCCCCCAGAGGAUUUUUCAAACCUGCUUAACGGUGUGAUCUGAGUACAGCUUUGAAUGAUUCAAAACUUUCAACAACGGAUCUCUUGGUUCUGGCAUCGAUGAAGAACGCAGCAAAAUGCGAUAAGUAAUGUGAAUUGCAGAAUUCAGUGAAUCAUCGAAUCUUUGAACGCACAUUGCGCCCCCUGGUAUUCCGGAGGGCAUGCCUGCUCGAGCGUCAUUUAAACCAUCAAGCCCCGCUUGGUCUUGGGUGCGCAGGUCCCCGUACGACCCACCCGCAACUAGUUGGCGGCACCGACCAGCUUCAAGCGUAGCAAAUUCUCGCUUCCGAAGCUCUGGGCGGCGCCUGCCGGUGAAGGCCACCUAAAGUUUGACCUCGGAUCAGGUAGGGAUACCCGCUGAACUUAAGCAUAUCAAUAAGCGGAGGAAAAGAAACCAACAGGGAUUGCCUCAGUAACGGCGAGUGAAGCGGCAACAGCUCAAAUUUAAAACCUGGCGCGAGCCCGGAUUGUAAUUUGCAGAGGAUGCUUCGGAGUCGUCCCUGGUCUAAGUGCCUUGGAACAGGCCGUCGCAGAGGGUGAGAGUCCCGUAUGCGGCCGGGUGCCUUCUCCGUGUGAAGCUCCUUCGACGAGUCGAGUUGUUUGGGAAUGCAGCUCUAAAUGGGAGGUAUAUUUCUUCUAAAGCUAAAUACCGGCCAGAGACCGAUAGCGCACAAGUAGAGUGAUCGAAAGAUGAAAAGCACUUUGGAAAGAGAGUUAAAAAGUACGUGAAAUUGUUGAAAGGGAAGCGUUUGCGGCCAGACUUGAUUGCGGUUGCUCAGCCGGGCUCUGCCUGGUGCACUCUUCCGCCAUCAGGCCAGCAUCAGUUUGGGUGGCCGGACAAAGGCGUCGGGAACAUAGCUCCUCUCGGGGAGUGUUAUAGCCCCUCGCACAAUAUGGCCCGUCCGGACUGAGGACAGCGUUCGCUCGGAUGCUGGCGUAAUGGCAGCCAACGGCCCGUCUUGAAACACGGACCAAGGAGUCUAGCACAUGUGCGAGUGUUUGGGUGUCAAACCCGUGCGCGCAAUGAAAGUGAACGGAGGUGGGAGCUCUCGCGCACCAUCGACCGAUCCUGAUGUCUUCGGAAGGAUUUGAGUAAGAGCACACGUGCUGGGACCCGAAAGAUGAUGAACUAUGCCUAAAUAGACUGAAGCCGCCCGAAAGGGCGGUGGAAGGUCGCAGCGGUUCUGACGUGCAAAUCGAUCGUCAAAUUUGGGUAUAGGGGCGAAAGACUAAUCGAAUCAUCUAGUAGCUGGUUCCAGC
rnacentral:misc_RNA from 1 species